rnacentral:tRNA from 1 species
GCGGGUGUGGCGAAAUUGGUAGACGCACUGGUUUUAGGUACCAGCGCCGCUUUAGGUAUGAUGGUUCGAGUCCAUCCACCCGCA